GUGGGUAUAACUUAGUGGUAGAGUGCAUGCUUAGUAUGCCCUGGGUUCAAUCCCUAGUACCUCCA
rfam:Camelus ferus unplaced genomic scaffold scaffold672, whole genome shotgun sequence.